rnacentral:rRNA from 1 species
AUGAACGCUGGCGGCGUGCCUAAUACAUGCAAGUCGAGCGCACGGACGAGAAGCUUGCUUCUCUGAUGUUGGCGGCGGACGGGUGAGUAACACGUGGAUAACCUACCUAUAAGACUGGGAUAACUUCGGGAAACCGGAGCUAAUACCGGAUGAUAUUUUGAACCGCAUGGUUCAAAAGUGAAAGACGGUCUUGCUGUCACUUAUAGAUGGAUCCGCGCUGCAUUAGCUAGUUGGUAAGGUAACGGCUUACCAAGGCAACGAUGCAUAGCCGACCUGAGAGGGUGAUCGGCCACACUGGAACUGAGACACGGUCCAGACUCCUACGGGAGGCAGCAGUAGGGAAUCUUCCGCAAUGGGCGAAAGCCUGACGGAGCAACGCCGCGUGAGUGAUGAAGGUCUUCGGAUCGUAAAACUCUGUUAUUAGGGAAGAACAUAUGUGUAAGUAACUGUGCACAUCUUGACGGUACCUAAUCAGAAAGCCACGGCUAACUACGUG